CCUACGGGUGGCUGCAGUGGGGAAUAUUGGACAAUGGGGGAAACCCUGAUCCAGCAAUGCCGCGUGUGUGAAGAAGGCCUGCGGGUUGUAAAGCACUUUUGUUCGGGAAGAAAACCUGUGGACUAAUACUCUGCGGGGAUGACGGUACCGGAAGAAUAAGCACCGGCUAACUUCGUGCCAGCAGCCGCGGUAAUACGAAGGGUGCAAGCGUUAAUCGGAAUUACUGGGCGUAAAGGGUGCGUAGGCGGCUUUUUAAGUCGGAUGUGAAAGCCCCG
rnacentral:rRNA from 1 species